GCAGGGGUUAGCACCCACAGCCACUAGGCUGAGGGUCAUCUCCUUCCAACACAUUGUUAACUCUUAUCUGACUUCUCACCAGAGCCAUCCACUGUAGGGCUUUCUGGCGAAUCUCCAGAGUGUGAGCCAUCCGGCUGACGGAACUGGAUGUUCAAACUGCUAGAGGGUAAAUGCUCCAGGAUGAUCUGAUCACCUGCCUCCUGCCCUUCCGAGUGGAACAGAAUUGGGCGGCAG
rnacentral:misc_RNA from 1 species